GUGCUCGCUUCAGCAGCACAUAUACUAAAAUUGGAAUGAUAGAGAGAAGAUUAGCAUAGCCCCAGUGAAGGAUGACAUGCAAAUUUGUGAAGUGUUCCGUAUUUUU
rnacentral:snRNA from 1 species